rnacentral:rRNA from 1 species
AUUGAGCGCUGGCGGCAUGCCUUACACAUGCAAGUCGAACGGUAACGCGGGGCAACCUGGCGACGAGUGGCGAACGGGUGAGUAAUGCAUCGGAACGUGCCUGGUAGUGGGGGAUAACUGCUCGAAAGAGCAGCUAAUACCGCAUACGACCUGAGGGUGAAAGGGGUGGAUCGCAAGACCUCUCGCUAUCAGAGCGGCCGAUGUCGGAUUAGCUAGUUGGUGAGGUAAAGGCUCACCAAGGCGACGAUCUGUAGCGGGUCUGAGAGGAUGAUCCGCCACACUGGGACUGAGACACGGCCCAGACUCCUACGGGAGGCAGCAGUGGGGAAUUUUGGACAAUGGGGGCAACCCUGAUCCAGCCAUGCCGCGUGAGUGAAGAAGGCCUUCGGGUUGUAAAGCUCUUUCAGCCGGGAAGAAAUCGCACAGGCUAAUAUCCUGUGUGGAUGACGGUACCGGAAUAAGAAGCACCGGCUAACUACGUGCCAGCAGCCGCCGUAA